UUUGAGGCAGUUUGGCUUCAAACAUGUUCCACAUUAACUGUGGGUAAUCAAAUGCCGAUUAUUUCUUUUCAGAGCAUUUCAGACAAGACUGAUAAACCUUACAAUCAUUUCCCUAGGGAAUAUCUCCAGAACUGACUGGCUUUUGACUCCUGUGCAACUACAUAAUAUUGUUUAUAAAAUUAAAGUUUUAAUAUCUUUGUUUAUUUUCAGUCUAGUGUCUAGUUAAUGGCUUAAAGAAUUUAUUUUGCUCUGCUUUAUUUUCAUUGACAAUACAAUGAUAUAUGAUUUAUAGCACACUUGUUGCAGUUCCACUUUAAAUACCAAAGUUGGAUAUCAUAUGUUCCGGUAGUUAUUAUCUUGAUUUGAAUUGUUUCAGUAAAAGAAAUAUUAUAAGGAACAAACAUCCAAUUAGGAUUAGCCAGGUAUAAUACAAGAAAUAAUGAAACGAAAUAGGUUCCUAAAAAGUAAUAAGAAAUCAUUUUUAUUAAGGAUACAAUUCGAAAUGAUGAUAGAUUAUAUACAUUGUACACUGUCAGUGUUGAUUUAGGACGAUCCAUCGAAAUGUUUAUUUACACACGGAUAUGAACAUUAUACCAUGGGAAAUCGUAGCACAUAAUAUUUAGACUCAAGUCGGAAACAUUAUCCUGAAACGAUUAUUUUUCGUGAUAAACCUUGUGCUUCCACAGAUAAUAACCAGGGCAAGAUUCUUAUCAUUACUUCAAACCAACGGACACUAGCUUAUGUUCCCAAAAUGUAAACAAAAUAAGAAAAUCAACUGAAAUUUAUUUUGUAAAUUAGGGCGCCAAUAUAAAUUGAAUUGAUAAGAAAGUGCUAACUGCAAUAAACGCACUGGAAAGCUAUUUCGGAUAAAAUACAUCGGUUUUAGCGGACAUUUUUUAUGCAGAAUUACAGGAAAUCGUUAUUUGUUUUGGUCGUUUCUGAGCAUGGAUAUUUUUCGGAAGAGUUCGCAUGCUAGUUCCCACAUACUGGAUUCAGAUUCAUUGGUAAUUGAGGCCUUGUGUACUAUGCAAUACAAAGAAAACUACAUUCAUGUGUCAACAUUUGCUGUUAUAAACAGGGAUAUACACAGAUCAUUGUGGAUUAUAAAUAAAAGUUGGAUCUUUAAAAGCGACCACGUUACCUAACUGGAAUAGUGUUUUUAAGUAGAUGUAUUUUCUUAUUACUUUGAAUAUUACAGAUAUAUGGACAUUUGUUUUCGUAAUGUGAAAUGAUAACGUUUCUCGAAAAUGUCAGGACAGAAACAUUCAAUAAUUACAUUCUAACCAUAUCAAGUUGUGUAAGAUGUGCAAACAGUGACAAAAAUAACCAUGAUGGAAAAUAUUGAAAAUCUUGUAAUCUUUCACAAUUUUUUUUAUUACUUCUAUGAUGACUAAUGGCAAUACAUGCAAACAACAUGUAUUUUGUCUGUUUUCAGAAAGUUAAAUGCAAAAGGACUUGUAUUCUAUUUCACACAGUAUCAGUUACCUUGGAUAUUCAGUUUCCUGAUACUUAUCAGAAUUUUAUCCGUUAUCUUGGCUUUCCUGUACAUUUUUAUUCUUUAUUCAAUGACAUAUGCAUGUAUAAUUACAUAACACAGUGCUUAACACAGUGUUUGAAUUCUGAUAGCAACAGCAAUACUCAUCUUUUCAUCAGAUUUCAGAAUGUCUAGAAUUUUGAGUGCAAUGUUAUCACUCAUUUUAUUUAUCUGAUUUAAGAUAGAUUCAUACAAUAUCAACAUAGGUCGCUUGUAACGGCUUAUCGGAAUUCGGAUAGCAACAUUGACACACAUUAUUUAUUUCCUCUGUUUAUAGUUAUAUAAUUCAGGUAGUAGAGUCAAUGCUGUUUUUUCUACUGCCUGCUCUCAAAUGGUGUUUAUCUGAAUUUUGAUAGCAAACGCAACGCACAGUUUCUCUACUGUUCGGCUGCAGAUCGUUUUACGCUAUGGCUUAGGCGAAUUCGGAUAAAAACGAAAAUACAUACACAAGAUCUAUUUCAUAUAUUCCUGAUGAGAUGCAAAACUUAUAGCUAUUUCAAUUCAAAUAGCAAAGCCAAUGCUAGGUUUUUUGAACGGCAUAAUUGCUUAUCUGAAUUUGGAUAGCAAAAACGAAACACAAUUUUUAUUCUGUCCAACUUUAGAUAGUCAAUAUUGUAUGGACUUGUCUGAAUUCGGAUAAUAAUACAAACUCACAAUUUGGUCAAGUGUAUUUACUUGUUCGUUUAAUGAUCAGGUACAAGGUUUCUUUCGUAAAUUAUCGUAUUUGGUAAAGUGUAUAUUAGCUUAGGACAGUGUAACAUAAUGAAUACUGGAUUUAAUCUGACAAUAUUUUGUAUUUGUAUAUUAAUAUAAAAUGAAGUGAAGUUAAUCAAAGUCUGCCUUUUAUCUGUUUUCGGAUAGAGCAGUUUUCUUAUACAUAUUUAGAUAUGUGGUUUCCUGUUCCCUGCUCGAGGUGUCUUGUAUUAUAUUCAUGAUCAUUAAAGUUAUGAAA